rnacentral:rRNA from 1 species
UACGUAGGGACCAAGCGUUGUUCGGAUUUACUGGGCGUAAAGGGCGCGUAGGCGGCAAUUCAAGUCAGCUGUGAAAUCUCCGGGCUUAACUCGGAACGGUCAGCUGAUACUGCUUUGCUAGAGUGCAGAAGGGGCAAUCGGAAUUCUUGGUGUAGCGGUGAAAUGCGUAGAUAUCAAGAGGAACCCCUGAGGGGGAGACGGGUUGCUGGGCUGGCACUGGCGCUGAGUGCGCGAAAGCUAGGGUAGCAAACGGG